GUGGUAGCCUUUGGCCAAAGCUGCUACUGCAUCCCUGUAGAGCUGCAAAUUUCUGCAAGUCUUCUCACUUUGAGUUGGUGUGGAGGAGGAAAAGCACAAAGGAGCUUUGGAGCUCUAUAAUCUAAAGAAUCAUACAAGAUCUUCCUGUCAAAGAAAGAUUGCAAGCAUGGACACACAAUCAAGCCACAACGAAGAACUUCAUUGAUUUCAUCUCAGUGUAUCCAAAUCACUGGAGCUUCGG